AAUUCUUCGACGUGGAUGCCCACAGCGGAUACUGACAGAUCGUGGUGCAGAAUUCAAUAAUAAGCUUAACUUGUAUGUUUGUAAUAAAUUGGGAAUAGAACGUAGCUUCACCAGUCCGUACCACCCACAAACCAAUGGCUUGGCUGAAAACGCUAAUAAAUCCAUAAAAAGAGCACUGCGGAAGAUGGUUGAUAACAAUGGGAGUAAUUGGGAUAAAUUACUUGAACCCAUUUUGUUUUCUUUGCAAACUAAAAUAC